rnacentral:rRNA from 1 species
GACGGAGGAUGCAAGUGUUAUCCGGAAUCACUGGGCGUAAAGCGUCUGUAGGUGGUCAAAUAAGUCAACUGUUAAAUCUUGAGGCUCAACCUCAAAAUCGCAGUCGAAACUAUUCGACUAGAGUAUAGUAGGGUAAAGGGAAUUUCCAGUGGAGCGGUGAAAUGCGUAGAGAUCGGAAAGAACACCAACGGCGAAAGCACUCUGCUGGGCCGACACUGACACUGAGAGACGAAAGCUAGGGGAGCGAAUGGG